ensembl:snRNA LOC120100116 U4 spliceosomal RNA
AGCUCUUCACACUGGCAGUAUUGUAGCCAAUGAAGUUUAUCUGAGGCAUGAUUAUUGCUAAUUGAAAAGAUAGUGCAUCUUCAUAUAUCUGCAGGGAUCUUCUCAAAAGGGUAGGUGAAUACCUAGUAAUUCUCACAGAUAUUUAAUAAUG